AUUGAACGCUGGCGGCAGGCUUAACACAUGCAAGUCGAACGAUGAUUAUCUAGCUUGCUAGAUAUGAUUAGUGGCGGACGGGUGAGUAACAUUUAAGAAUCUGCCUAGUAGUGGGGGAUAGCUCGGGGAAACUCGAAUUAAUACCGCAUACGACCUACGGGUGAAAGGGGGCGCAAGCUCUUGCUAUUAGAUGAGCCUAAAUCAGAUUAGCUAGUUGGUGGGGUAAAGGCCCACCAAGGCGACGAUCUGUAACUGGUCUGAGAGGAUGAUCAGUCACACCGGAACUGAGACACGGUCCGGACUCCUACGGGAGGCAGCAGUGGGGAAUAUUGGACAAUGGGGGCAACCCUGAUCCAGCCAUGCCGCGUGUGUGAAGAAGGCCUUUUGGUUGUAAAGCACUUUAAGCAGGGAGGAGAGGCUAAUGGUUAAUACCCAUUAGAUUAGACGUUACCUGCAGAAUAAGCACCGGCUAACUCUGUGCCAGCAGCCGCGGUAAUACAGAGGGUGCGAGCGUUAAUCGGAAUUACUGGGCGUAAAGCGAGUGUAGGUGGCUCAUUAAGUCACAUGUGAAAUCCCCGGGCUUAACCUGGGAACUGCAUGUGAUACUGGUGGUGCUAGAAUAUGUGAGAGGGAAGUAGAAUUCCAGGUGUAGCGGUGAAAUGCGUAGAGAUCUGGAGGAAUACCGAUGGCGAAGGCAGCUUCCUGGCAUAAUAUUGACACUGAGAUUCGAAAGCGUGGGUAGCAAACAGGAUUAGAUACCCUGGUAGUCCACGCCGUAAACGAUGUCUACUAGCCGUUGGGGUCCUUGAGACUUUAGUGGCGCAGUUAACGCGAUAAGUAGACCGCCUGGGGAGUACGGCCGCAAGGUUAAAACUCAAAUGAAUUGACGGGGGCCCGCACAAGCGGUGGAGCAUGUGGUUUAAUUCGAUGCAACGCGAAGAACCUUACCUGGUCUUGACAUAGUGAGAAUCCUGCAGAGAUGCGGGAGUGCCUUCGGGAAUUCACAUACGGGUGCUGCAUGGCUGUCGUCAGCUCGUGUCGUGAGAUGUUGGGUUAAGUCCCGCAACGAGCGCAACCCUUUUCCUUAUUUGCCAGCGGGUUAAGCCGGGAACUUUAAGGAUACUGCCAGUGACAAACUGGAGGAAGGCGGGGACGACGUCAAGUCAUCAUGGCCCUUACGACCAGGGCUACACACGUGCUACAAUGGUAGGUACAGAGGGUUGCUACACAGCGAUGUGAUGCUAAUCUCAAAAAGCCUAUCGUAGUCCGGAUUGGAGUCUGCAACUCGACUCCAUGAAGUCGGAAUCGCUAGUAAUCGCGGAUCAGAAUGCCGCGGUGAAUACGUUCCCGGGCCU
rnacentral:rRNA from 1 species